UGACCACGAGACCGAUAGCGAACAAGUACCGUGAGGGAAAGUUGAAAAGAACUUUGAAGAGAGAGUUCAAGAGUACGUGAAACCGUUCAGGGGUAAACCUGAGAAACCCGAAAGAUCGAAAGGAGAGAUUCAAUGUUAUCGUUGUCUUCCAUUUAUUGGCGUGCGAUUGACCGGGAUUCGUCCUGCGAUACGCCGUCGGUUUAUGCGUUAGGCGUUUAUGCACUUCUCUCUCAGUAGGACGUCGCGACCCGUUUGGUGUCGAUCUACGACCGCGGCGGUAGCCUGUCACGGAUUUAUUCGCGCCAGACCCCGCGUGCUCCGGCCGACUGCCAGACGGUAUAAAUGAUAUGGUAUAGGGUCGCUUUUAAGCGUUCGGCCGGUUGCAAGCACGGACGGUUAUUGGCCGUCGGACCUAGUCCGGCAUCGAUGCCGCCUCGAGCUGUUAGCUACCGUGUUCUCGAACGGACUCUAUUACCGGUCAGCGAUGCUAUUGCUUUGGGUACUUUCAGGACCCGUCUUGAAACACGGACCAAGGAGUCUAGCAUGUGCGCGAGUCAUUGGGAAAUACAAAACCUAAAGGCGCAAUGAACGUAAAGGUUUGCUUAAGUAAACUGAGGGAUGACGGCAACCGCUUCUACGAAUGCGAAAGGGUGAACUAUGCCCGGUCAGGUCGAAGUCAGGGGAAACCCUGAUGGAGGACCGUAGCGAUUCUGACGUGCAAAUCGAUCGUCGGAACUGGGUAUAGGGGCGAAAGACUAAUCGAACCAUCUAGUAGCUGGUUCCCUCCGAAGUUUCCCUCAGGAUAGCUGGCAUUCGAUGAGCGAGUCUCAUCCGGUAAAGCGAAUGAUUAGAGGCCUUGGGGCCGAAACGACCUCAACCUAUUCUCAAACUUUAAAUGGGUGAGAUCUCUGGCUUGCUUGAAUAGUGAAGCCAGAGAUUUGGAUCAGAGUGCCUAGUGGGCCAUUUUUGGUAAGCAGAACUGGCGCUGUGGGAUGAACCAAACGCCGAGUUAAGGCGCCUAAACGACGCUAAUGGGAUACCAUGAAAGGCGUUGGUUGCUUAAGACAGCAGGACGGUGGCCAUGGAAGUUGGAAUCCGCUAAGGAGUGUGUAACAACUCACCUGCCGAAGCAACUAGCCCUGAAAAUGGAUGGCGCUGAAGCGUCGUGCCUAUACUCGGCCGCCAAGGCAUGAGAAACGUUCAUAAUAGUUCGUUUUGACGCCCUGGUGAGUAGGAGGGUCGCGGUGGUGUGCGCAGAAGGGUUUGGGCGUAAGCCUGCCUGGAGCCGCCAUCGGUGCAGAUCUUGGUGGUAGUAGCAAAUACUCCAGCGAGGCCCUGGAGGACUGACGUGGAGAAGGGUUUCGUGUGAACAGCCGUUGCACACGAGUCAGUCGAUCCUAAGCCCCAGGAGAAAUCCUAUGUUGAUGUCGGUGUAUUUUAUUUUGAAUAAAAUUUCACACCCAUCGGGCGAAAGGGAAUCCGGUUCCUAUUCCGGAACCCGGCAGCGGAACCGUUUACAAGUCGGGCCCUCGCAAGAGAGUUCGUCGGGGUAACCCAAAAUGACCUGGAGACGCCGUCGGGAAAUACGGGAAGAGUUUUCUUUUCUGUAUGAGCGUUCGAGUUCCCUGGAAUCCUCUAGAAGGGAGAUAGGGUUUGGAACGCGAAGAGCACCGCUGUUGCGGCGGUGUCCGUAUCUUCCCCUCGGACCUUGAAAAUCCAGGAGAGGGCCACGGUAGGUGUCGCGCCGGUUCGUACCCAUAUCCGCAGCAGGUCUCCAAGGUGAAGAGCCUCUAGUCGAUAGAUAAAUGUAGGUAAGGGAAGUCGGCAAAUUGGAUCCGUAACUUCGGGAUAAGGAUUGGCUCUGAGGAUCGGGGCGUGCCGGGCUUGGUUGGGAAGCGGGCGUAGGCCGAUGUGCCGGGCCUGGGCAAGGUGAAAUUGUCCUUGUGACUUAGAUCCGAGCUCGGUCCCGUGUCUAGGCCCCCCGCGGAUCUUUCUUGCUGCGAGGUUUCUGUGCCGGCUUCGGUCGGUCAGUCGUACUCUUCGGCCGCCAUUCAACGGUCAGCUCAGAACUGGCACGGACUAGGGGAAUCCGACUGUCUAAUUAAAACAAAGCAUUGCGAUGGCCCUAGCGGGUGUUGACGCAAUGUGAUUUCUGCCCAGUGCUCUGAAUGUCAACGUGAAGAAAUUCAAGCAAGCGCGGGUAAAACGGCGGGAGUAACUAUGACUCUCUUCACGUGGGUCCCACCGUGAGUACCCCUUCGGGGGAAACUAAGCCACCUCUGUGCUUUUGGCUUGUGGGCUGCCAACCCCCUCGCCUGCAAUCAAGUCGGUGAAAGUAUUAGAAACCUAGCCUCGGAUGAAAAUUUAGAUUUAAAUUUGGGUGGACCCUCUGGUCUGCCCCAACCGACUAAUAGAGUUGGGUAUAAUUGCCGUUUUCCUACCUGUGAAAAAUCUUUUGCAACUUCGGUUGGCCGUGGUGUGCAUGAGCAACGAGUACAUAAGGACUGGUACGACCAGGUACUUUCAAAGAUUGUGCCUAAAAAAGCACGAUGGACCGAAGAGGAACAAGUUUUGAUGGCCAAAGAGGAGGCUGCACUAAUUCAAAAGGGUGUAACCCAAAUAAAUAAAGCUCUCCU
rnacentral:rRNA from 1 species